rnacentral:lncRNA from 1 species
GCUCCUGUCCUGUCCAUGCGGGCUGCCUCUUGUUCUCACCCCGUCUCCUUGACCUUGGCCUCCCAUUGGCCUUGCUGAGGCCUUUGAGAGAAGAAAGUGGGCUGGGCAGAGGUGAGGAGGCAGAAACCAACAGGAGGCCAGGCCUCUUUUCUUCCCUCCAACAUCUGCCUGGACAGUAUGGGAGAGGCCAAGCUGGACUCCUGCUGGGAUGGGGGGAUCUUGUAUUCAGUGAACUUUAUUUACCUUCCUGGACCUGCACAGCAGAUGCCCCUGCAAGGGGCCACUUGCCCCCAGACAUGACAUUCCUGUAGAGUUGGCAUGGGAGCCACACUGCUCAGAUGCCAAGGGGUGGGGCACUCAGGGCACCAGGCCAGGGGAAGUGAAACCAGCCUCCCUGGAUGCACCCACUUCCUGAAUUGGCUGACCUGGGACACUUUAAUUUCUCUCUCUGAGCCUUAGUUUCCUCAGCUCUGAAAGGGGAGGAUUAAGUGAACUAGCACCUCUAAAGCACCCUGCACAGUGCCUGGUCUAUUUUUGUCUGAGACAGGAAGGAAUCCCCUCUCCCACCUGCUAAGCUGCCUUUAGUGCCUCUCAUUGGCAGAAGCUAACAGGAAGUCAGCUGGCAAGGGAGCUGAAAAAUGUGGCUUGCAGACCCUAGCCCCAGCAUCUCAGAGCAGAUUAUAGAAGGGUGAGCGUAGACCAGAAACCAGAGGUGCCUGGAGGGAUCAGCAAACUGAGAUCAUUGGAGUUCAUACUUAGGGCAUGGUGUUUUCUCGGGAACCUGGGUGACUCAAACCUGGACUAUCAUUCAGGUAAGGACGGCUUUACUUUCAGUUCACCUUUACUUCUGAAAUGCAGUCCUUUGGGGGCUGACUCGCGUGUGGGAGGCAGCUUAUCACCCACACUCUUGGCAGGCCCCAGACUUAGAUAUUUAUCUCCAGGCAUGCAAAGCCACUGAAAGUGAGCUUAGCCUCUCAGCCCUUCUUUUCAAUUGGCAAAAGCUUCCAGGGCAACUGCAGCCUCAAGUAUCUGGGUCACCUCUUGGGAAUCCU